UUGCUGUGAUGACAGUCUUAGGACACCUUUGGAUUAACUGUGAAAAGAAUCAUGUUCUGAGCAAC